CCUCCCUUUAAACGAGUCCAGAGAGGCUUGCAAGGGGGUAUACUCCUCUAACUUGAAGUGUGCCACUUGGUAUAUUUUAAGUAGAAGACCGUACCUCUUUGUGUAGCAAAGAGGUUUUUUGUAU
rfam:Anaerobacillus arseniciselenatis strain DSM 15340 Ga0137926_151, whole genome shotgun sequence.